rnacentral:rRNA from 1 species
UACGGGGGGGGCAAGCGUUGUUCGGAAUUACUGGGCGUAAAGGGCUCGUAGGUGGCCAACUAAGUCAGACGUGAAAUCCCUCGGCUUAACCGGGGAACUGCGUCUGAUACUGGAUAGCUAGAGAUUGGGAGAGGGAUGCGGAAUUCCAGGUGUAGCGGUGAAAUGCGUAGAUAUCGGGAGGAACACCAGUGGCGAAGGCGACUACCUGGCCUGUUUCUUGACGCUGAGGCGCGAAAGCUAGGGGAGCAAACGGG